rnacentral:rRNA from 1 species
UAAGGAAUAUUGGUCAAUGGACGCAAGUCUGAACCAGCCAUGCCGCGUGAAGGAUGAAGGUCCUCUGGAUUGUAAACUUCUUUUAUCUGGGACGAAAACGGGAUUUUUAUCUCAAUUGACGGUACCAGAGGAAUAAGCACCGGCUAACUCCGUGCCAGCAGCCGCGGUAAUACGGAGGGUGCGAGCGUUAUCCGGAUUUACUGGGUUUAAAGGGUGCGCAGGUGGGCUUAUAAGUCAGUGGUGAAAUCUCCGAGCUUAACUUGGAAACUGCCGUUGAUACUAUAGGUCUUGAAUUAUCUGGAGGUAAGCGGAAUAUGUCAUGUAGCGGUGAAAUGCUUAGAUAUGACAUAGAACACCAAUUGCGAAGGCAGCUUACUACAUAUAAAUUGACGCUGAGGCACGAAAGCGUGGGGAUCAAACA